rnacentral:ncRNA from 1 species
CCUUGACAGUCGCAUAGGGCGGCUGACAUUAGCCUAGACAAGGAGUUCCUCAUG